UUGGUUUGAAAUGAAAUUUGAGUCUUGAGAGAGGGCUGAUAUGAAGGAGAAUCAAACAAGCCACAUGGGAGCAUCUGAAGGCCUGGAGAUAAGGGCCUGUUGCAUGGCUGUGAAAAUUUGGCCUUUAAAAUAACUAGGCAUGGGCCAGAAAUCACAGCCGGCGGCUGCGACCACCCAAGGCAGGAGAUCCAGCGGGGGACUAUGGAGCUCAGUGGAGCUGCGGCCUGGGAGAAGCCCACCCAAGAGAACCAUGUAACUAGAAACCAUCACAUUCGGCUUCGUGUGAGGGAGAAGCAGAUUGCCAAGAUGGUACAGACAGCAGAAGUGGCAAAACAACACUUAAACUCAAACCUGCCCAACUUCAAAGUCCACGCCCUUCCCUGGGCUUCAGACUGCCGUCUUUGAUGCUAUCUUUCAUUGAGAUGUUGUUUGCAUUAAAUGGGGGAUC
rnacentral:lncRNA from 1 species